rnacentral:lncRNA from 1 species
GCCUUUAUCCAGAUUUACUCUAUGUUAAGAAAAUAAGACAUGUACAAUAAAUGUGAAUGAUACAGUAAUCUCUUACCCAAGUUACAAACUAGGUCAUUCACCUGUGUAACAUGUAUGUACAGAUAUAUUUAUAAUAUACUAGUAUAAAAUAGAAAAACGAAAUGUGGGACACAGCCCGAACAAAGCGCAGAUAACUGCCGAAGUCCAGUAAUGUGUUUUCAACGAAUCGAUAUAAUCCUCUUUUGAAAUAAAGAGGUUGUAAUACAGAGGCUGCUUAUUUGUAAUUACGCCAUAUACAUGGUAUAGAUGCGCAAUUUACCCAAAGCAAGUAUAGCGUGCAUUUAAAAUUUCUAAUACGUAAUAAAGGGAAAACGGUACUAUUUAUUCUUCCAUAGGCGACAAUGCUAACCUUUUCUAAAUUUACCAGUUUUUAUAAUAAAAACCUGGAUAAAACAGUUAUGUGUGGUGUUAGUACUUUAUUACUGUAUUCUAAAAAUUGAAGCCGAAUAGUAUCAUGACCAAUUUCUAACGGAGCUUGUUUAUGUUAUCCAUGCCCAUUUUGCACCAAAUUUAUGAAAUUCUGGAAGCCUUUUCGAAUAAUUCUCUAGAAAAUAUUUCAAUAGGUUUUAAAAUUUAUAUUUUAAAUUUACACACUACUGUCAUUCAUAGAUAAAUAAAAAAAAUAUAUUGUACCUUUACAUCCAAUCACAGCUCUCCUAAGUUUACUUCCUUCAUCUGUCUUGGGUACACAAAAGGCAAACCUUAUGCUGGGAAAAUGUAAUACUACCGUUUUCCCUAUAACAAGGAUGUACGACAUGAGUUUUUUUCAUGAUGAAGAUGCGCAUAAUUGUUUACAUGUAGCCGUCAACUUCAUUUUAUAUUCGUAGGAUAUAUGCGCUUUCUAUCACGACCACCUUUCAAGAUAGAGAGUUCGUGAUUAACGAGGAAUCUAUUCAAUAAAAGUGUAACAGGAUAAAGUUGGAAUCAACUCCUCUGAAGUGUAAAUAGUUAUCAAAGGUACCAGGAUUAGCAUUUAGUACGCCAGACGCGACGUUUGACGUUCAUACAAAAUCCAAAAAGACAAGUACAUCCAAUGUGACAAGAAUCCUUAGUUUUUCAAAAAAUUCAAAGUUUUUGUAAACAAAUUUAUAAAAUGACCACAUUAUUGAUAUUCAUGUCAACACAAAGUGUUGACUACUGGGCUGGUGAUACCCUUACCAGCAGUGGCAUCGACCCAGUGGUGUAACAGACUCAUCAUCCAUGAUUUGAUUGAUAACAUAUUAGAACCUUAGAUUUGAACAUAUGUGUCUUUUGUUAAAAGUACAUUCCUGUAAAAUAAAAAGAAAAAAAAAAAAAAAACCUUAUUUUGAAUUCGUUAUUGACCAUUACUUAGUUUUAAAUGACGAAAAUUCUAAUCUUAGCAAAUUAGAAAAAAAAAGAGUUAGAAUUAAAUUCCCACCACUACCCUUAAAUAUUAAAUAUUAAAUAUAUUGAUUUUUUAAAAAAUAUUAAAAUUUCGUUUUGAUUUUGCAAUAGUCGGAAAAUUCUAAGAUUAUCAAAAGUUUGAAUUUAAGAAUAGCUAAGCUGUUUUUUGGGCGAAAUUUUACAGAAUUUUGAAACCCCAAUGCUCUUCAAUUUCGUUAGUUAUUUGGCCUUUUUCCAUGCUAAGUCUGAUUGAAUACUUGACUAUCUGGGUAUAGUCUGAAUGUAAUCUGGACAAAUGCUCGACGUGGUUAAUUCUGGUUUUGAAUAGUAUUCUUGAAUUGCUGUCAAGCAUCUUUUUAUUAAAAAAUUAUGAGUGAUAUCACCACAAUUAUAAAGUAUCUGACGGUCGUUUUCCUGCAUGGAAAUAUAGUUUUCUUUUAAUCAUUCAUAUGAUAAUAUAAGCAAGAGCAGUUGCUGGGACAAAACUAAUGUAGAAAUGAUCUAGACAACAACAUGACAAAAAAAAAACCAUCAAGAAGUAACUACUUUAUUCAAUGAUAUAGCAGAGUCAGAUUUGUGGAAAUGGUGGUGGUUUAUGGGGGGUGGUUUGUUAUGGAUUUGAUGUCCUUCUACUUUUCUCUAUUCUUUAUUAGUUUUGGCCAAUAUUCGCUAUUUUUUUCUGUGCUUAUUCUUUAUUCUAGUCUUCUUUUAUCCGUCUUUUUAUUGCUGUGUCUUGGAAAGUGACAAAAAUGGCGUUAAAAAUUUUAUGACGAUAACAAGAGUCACCAGAUGAAGUGAGAAAUCAAAGUCUCCAUAUAUGUUGUUACUUUCUUUUUAUAGAAUAAAUUAGAAAAAGACAGCUAAAAAUGAACGGAUUAAUUAUCUGCCUUUACAAGGCAAAUGAUUGUACUACAUGUAUUUAACAAAUUAACGUAUUGAAAUUUGCUCAUAUGAAAUUUAAACAAUAACAUAUGAUAAAUAUAGAUAUACUAAUAGAACUCAGUAAUAUAUAAAGAUGGGAAUCGACUUAAGACUGAUUGCAAUGAAAUACAUUUCAGGGACCUUCCUCUUUAAAUAUAUUUUCCUGAUACAUGUGUCACAAUUUAUUACCAAAGUUUACUUAGUGCAUUAAGCAGAACUCAACAUAAUCAGCUUCUUCCUCAUUUUGAAAAAUCUAGAUAUAAAAAACAGAAUCGAAAAUUUUGUGAAAUGUUAUAUUGAAAUUGAAGGUAAGGCUAAGGCAGUGGACGACAAUUGGCGACGCUGGUUUCUUGUUGUGUUAAACUUUAACGACAAGUAAUGAAGUGCUUUAAGAAAAGUACUUGAUUAUAAUUUAUUAUGAGACGUUUCCGUUACUCAUUACUUCAAAAGGGAUAUAAAUCUAUACUACUAUAUCAAUCCUUGUUUCAACAACAUUUCUAUUUUUUCCGAUAAUUGAAAAUUAUUCGUCAGAUACGAUAAAAUCAAUUAAAAUAAUUGAACUUUGAUCUUAUAUUUUGAUUUCAUUACACGUUUUAGUUUUUCAGAAUUUAUAUAUGCAGACCUUUAUAAUGUGUAUAUUUAAACAAUGUUACACAACGUACAAGGUAUAUCCCAAGAAAUGCCCGAUCUAUUUAUAAGUCAUCCGAAAAAAAAAUUCUACGUUAGCAUUCUAUGAAUGUAGAUUCAUUAUUUUAUCGACAUAUGCAUACACCAUUAGUGUGGUGUCAAAGGUAAGCUAAAAUUAGAUCGAAACUGAUGCAAUAUAUGGUAAUGAGUUAUAAUACGGUGAAAACGUGUACCAAUAGCGUGUUUCAGCUAUUCCAUUCGUUUCGAAUUUAAGUUUUUUUCUCAAUCAUUCAUUACCAAAUUAUCUGAUUUAAAUGAAUUUUAUUUCAAUUUAUUUUGUUUAUUUUAUAAUAAUUAUUUUUAUAAUGUUUGGCGGGGAUACAAAUCUCUAAAAAAAAAAUGUUUCGAGAAAGAAAACAACCAAUAAAAAUAAAUAAGACAAUCUCCGACUGUUAUCAUGGUUAUGGAACGACCAUUUAACUUCAAAAUUUUUUUUUUCUUUACAAAAAAAUAUUGUGAUCCCCCAAUUUGGAGAUAAUAUAUAUUGUGAUUAAACAGAUGACAAAACAAGAAAAAAAAACUGAAUCCAAAUUUCCCCCAUACCUAUAUAUAUAUAGUGUUAAAUUUAUUCUAUUUCUAUUCCAAUGUUAUUUUUAAACAAUCAUGGUCUAUAUAGAUUUCUAAAACGGACCAAUUAUUUUCAAAAGGGAUAGGCCGGGGUUGGAGGAAGGGAGGAUAGACUGGCCGAUUACGAUAUAUUUAUACAAAUAAAACCCGAUUAACUUUUGAUCGAUCUUUUACUGGUCUUUUCCCUCCUCCCGAAACAUACAAUAUGUAGGGGAUUUUUUUUGAGAAUCAGUUGUCUAGCACAUGUUGUUAAUUAUUAUAAAAAUAAUGAUAACAAACGACAAUAAAUGUCCCACAAAAUGUACAAUAAAUGCUGUAGAAAUUAAAAUAUACAUGAAAUGAAGCGGAUUUUUUUUUAAGUAGGGAGACAUAGGUGCAGAAAAUUUUAUUAGAAGAUUUUCUUCCAAAAAAUAACUGAUUUUUACAAUCAAGGGGUAGAUGUGUUGGGUUGUGGAAGAGGUUGAUAGUACGCGCUUUCCAAUGGAGCCGUCACUUUAAACAAUUGUAUUCAAUGAUCUGUACAUGUAAGCACGAUCUAAAAUAUUCAAGACAAAGUUUUCAAAAUUAUUAUUGUACAUGUAUGAAGUUUUAUUUUCCUAUUUGUUUCAUUUAUGAAAUAAUCAUUCAAUCAAGAGUCUGGUUGUUCUUCGAUAAUUGUAUAUAUGUUAUUGUAAUUUUUUCAUAUUGCCCAUGUGUGCCCAUUGAUUUGAAAAGAAGUUUAUAACUAGUAUAAUGUUAUUCCUAAAUAUAUUCUAUCCUAUUCUAUUAAAAUCUGUUUUUUUUUUUACAUCCUAUCAUCUAUUCUUUUCGGUUCUUUUAUAUCCUAUCAUUUUCUAUCCUGUUCUUUUCCAUUCUAUUAUAUUCUAAUCUAUUCUAGAAAUAACCAAUCAUAGUACGUCUAGAUGACACACAAACACGUGGGACGUUGUUUGUAAACAAACAGCAUUAUUCUGUAAUAUGACCACGUAUUCAGCUUAGGCAGCAACCAUUUGAUUUUUUCGGGGGGGGGGGCUAUGGUUUUUUUUGGAAAAAAAAGUUUGUUUCCAGGUUUUGGUGAAAAAAAUAAUUUGUUUUGGACCCUGAGAAAAUAAAAUGUUUGUUUCACCCUCAGCUGCCACUAUAUGUAAUGCUAAAAUUGAAAGAAAAAAAUUGUUUUCGGUUUGUUGCUAAAAAAAUAGAUUAUUUUUCGCCAAAGGCGAAAACAAAAGUUUGCACAGAAAAAAAAACCAUAGCCCCCCCCCCCCCCCCCCCCCCAGAAAAUCAAAUGGUUGCUGCCUUACUUAAUAAUUAUAUUGCGUAUAAGACAAUCUUAAGUUAAGAUCUUACAAUAAUAUUGUAUACAAGACACACGACGUUAAGCUAUAUUACAAUUCGGAUUUAAAAAAACAAAUAAAAGAAUGAACUUCGACGAGUUUUAACAUACUUGUUCGCGAUAUUGUCAUGUGAUAUAAUGAGUCAUUUUCUAAAAAUAGACAUUCAGUGUUGCAUAUAUAUAUGUAGGACUCUAAAGUGCGAUGGGGACGCUAAAGUACGAUAGUCACGCUAAAGUGCGAUGGUCUACCUUAAAGUACGAUUCCUCCAUACGCUAAAGUGCGAUGGUCCGCGAAAGUAUAGAGGAGAGAAUUGUACUUGGAUUAGGACGUUAAAAGUUGUUUAUACAAACCAAAAAUGUAUAUGCCGGAACAUAAAUUAAGAACAUUGAUUCACAACUUUUAAACCAAAUGUCCAUGAUUUAAUUUCAGACCUAACUGUGCAUCGUCGGCUGAAGCAACUGUGUUGAUUUAUUUCGGAUGCUGGAAGAAGGACUUGUGUCCUGCAGUCGACCAUUUUACUUUAUAGAUGCUAAAUAGGUUGAAAAUAGUAUACGCAUAGGUAUCGUAGAUCCUGCUUCUAUUGGCAGCGAACGGAUGCACUGAAAUUAUUGUUUACAAUUCCGUUUACAUUGCGGUCCCCGUUAAAAUAUUCUCGAUGUUAUUGAAAAGUAACGUCAGGAAAAUAAAGGUUCAUGUUUUUCAGCGUAAAUUAUAAAUUGUCGGCUAAAACAUAGUUUGUACAGUGCAGGAAAAUAUAACAUGUCUUUUUUACGGAAAAGAGAAAGCUCGACGAAUAUCGCUUGUCCUCGCAUUUAAGAAUAAAGCUAAACACCUUGUACAAAUAAAUGUUACUUAAUGUAUUCAGACAAUGUGGUCGGUCUUAUAAAUUUAGAAACUAUCACUAUAUAAGCUUACCGAUAAAUCAUAAAGCCUAUCACAUAUGUUAUACCUUAGCAUUCUAGCUUUUGCAAAUAGACUAUUUUUUUUAUUUUUUUAAAUCCAUGUAUUUAAAUGUUUUAAACCGUCGAUCUUAUCAUAUUGGUCCAUCGCACUUUAGCGUGAUAUACCAUCGUACUUUAGCAAACAAACAACCAUCGCACUUUAGCGUGAGACACCAUCGUACUUUAGCGUAGACCAUCGCACUUUAGCGUGACCAUUGCACUUUAGAGUACCAUCGCACUUUAGAGUCCUACAUAUAUAACACUUCUUAUGAAUCAACUAUAUAUGUAAAUUGGACACUGUAAAGUAAGCUUUUUCUUGAUAAUAUAAAAGUUUUAAUAUUUUUCAACAAAUUUAUAUCAUCUGAUAACAGUUUAUCUAUAUUAUCUUUUAUGCCCUGUGUUUUUAUUUUAAUUGUUAACUAUAAACGUUCAGUGUGCAACGACUAAACAAGUUGAUUGGAAUAUGUCAACAUGGUUAAGGUCUUAUCAUUUUUUUUAAUUUAGAUACCAGAAAUGUAAAAAUAAAAAAAAUUAUAUAAACCGAAAUUCAAUAUAAAUCAAAUUACUGAUCAUAGUUUAUUGAUAUGGGAUUCAAUUUAAUAUUUUGUAAGAUCUUAAUAUUUUGGGAGGUUGCAUUUAUAAUCUGUUAUCUUGCAUACCAGUUCUAACAGGGGUGAUCUGAGCCGGAUCACCCGUACCAGAUCACCCUAGUUUGAGUUUCUUUGUUAUGCAUGCCUUCCUUUGUUCUGUAACAUUUUGGCGGGAAUGUCAAAUCCACUAUAAAACUUAUAAUUAAAUAUACAAUUAUACGGAAAAGACUAUCUAUCAAAAUUAACGUAGAAAACAUCCAGUGUAUAUGCUGGGAUUCGAACUCAAGACCUUUAGCAUAUCAAGCCACAACACAACCACUACACCAGGACGACUGGAUAUGGACUAUCAGUAAUUUAACAUACUUAAAGGAAGUAAGAUGUUUUUUAUAAGUGGGGCGAGUUGGCAGACCUUUAUUCAGUGGGGUUUAAACCCCUUUCGUUAAUAAGUGAGUUGUCAGUGAAAAGUAAAAUCACAAAAAUACUGAACUCAGAGGAAAAUCAAUUCGGAUUUGUUCAGUUUGAUUUUACACUUUUUAAAAAUGGGGCGAGUCGGUAAACAAGAGUGGGCGAUUUUUUUUCUUCAAAAAGUGGCGAGUUGACAUUGUUUAAUAUCUACUUAUCGUGUUCGGGGGUCAAACAGGGUAUUAAUCAUAAAGUAAUGUAUAAAGUAUAUUAUAAUGGUUUUGUGGCGUUCUAAACUAGAUUUUAUGAAUUGUAAAUGGUUUUUCGUCUAAUCUUAAUUUUAAUAUUCAAGAUAAAAAAGUGACCUUAUCAUACGUUGUCUUUUACCAUUUUUUGGGUGUAUGUUUCUCUUUGAUCUUUGAUGCUAUCAUAGACUUCUACUCAUUGAUGUAUUUCAGAUACACAGAGAGGAUCAUACUUUAGAAGGAAGAUCUAUUCUUAUUGUUUUAAUUACUGAUUCAUGGACAUCACUUUUAAAUUCAUAUUAUGUAUUCCAUUUCUUUGAGUACGCACGAACAUAAAACUGUUGGUAAUUUAAGAAUGUCCAUUAAAGACUUAUGUUAAGGACAAGACUUUAAUUUUGUAAUUUAGCUCUUUUUUGACGUUAUAUAUAAUGAUUCAAGACUUAGUACUUUUUUGAUAUAUUGUUAUAUUGUGUCAUUUCCAAUCAGUUUAACUAACUUUAAAUUCUUUUCAGAACAAGCUCAUAGCCGCUUACAAGAUGUUCCGUCAGAUGCUGUAAUUGAUACUUUGACAGAAAAGAACCUGAUUGGUGAUUGCGUUGUUCAUUUAGGACUUUAAUUGUGUCUUAGCAUUUGGAACAUUAGGAGUACUUUAUACAAUUUUCCUAGGGAUGUGAAUGGUCAGGUUCGUGAUCUUCUCAUUAAAUGGAAGAAUUGCAAUGAAACCAAGGUGGUAAAACCAAAAAUAUACCGACUUGUGGUAGCUUUAAAACAUAUUAAAGCAGCGAAAGGACUUAGUUUUGUGAAGAAAACAUAUGGUGUGGAAAAACACCUGAUAUGUUGUAUGUUGUGUAAAAGAAGAUAACAAAACAUGUGUAAAGGUAGUAAACAAAUAUGACGGGUACAACAUAGUCUAUUGAUUCAUAGACAAUAGCUAGAAUUAAAUUUAAGUUCUGCUUCCCUUUUAUUAUUUGAUAAUCAAAGUGUCUGUAUAUAGUUAAACAGAUGCUACAAUCACGUUUUUUAGUAUUGCGAGUGAGAAAGUUCAAAUUCUAUAUAAUAAAACAAAAUCAAAGUACACUAGUGGCCUCAUUUGAUUCAAUUAUAUAAUGAACAAUACGUUCUAUAAGCAUGGACAGUUUUUCAUUCAUACAACUUCGAAAAUUAUGGAACCAAAAAAGGCUACCAUUUUCGCCAAUUAUGUAAAUAACUAUUUCAACGUCAAACGAUAUAUAUUAAUAAAAACAAACCACCUUAUCUUCUUUUUAUGUUUGAAGUUUUGUGCUUGUUAUCAACAUGGUUGUUAUUCUGAAUAGCAUUCCUAAACUGUGAACGCAUGAACUGUGUGUUCCUUCAGUUCUAGUACACGUUGUAGCUCACCUGGCAGAAAAACCAAAUUGAAUUCAUUUUGCAUCUGUCAUCCGUCUUCCGAAUAUCAUUCCUAAACUGUGAAUGCACGAACUGUGUGCUCCUUCAGUUCUAGUACACUAGUAAUUUUAGCUCAUCUGGUAGAGAUACUUAUUCAGUUUUUUUAUCAUUUCGCGUCUGUCUUCCGUCGUCUGUUAACUUUAUAACAGUUUUAUCCUCUGAAACUACUGGGUCAAAUUGAACGAUACUUAACAAACAAAAUCAUCAUUUUGUAAUUAAUUUGAAAAAAAUAUGUCCGAUGACCCGCCUACUAAUCAAGGUGGUCGACAGGCCUAAAAAAAAGAAGAUGGGGGGGGGAUGCCGGUUUUACCUAUCAUAUUGAAAACCGCCAUAAAUAAAAAUAUUUUAAGGGGUCACAAGAGUUUAGAAUGUUGAGCGGUACCUAUUGUCUAUUGAGGUCAAAACUGUCAGACGACUUUUUAUAGAAGUAAUUGCACUUACAUGGUGUUUAUUUUCCUUUCAAUGGCCAUGUCCAUAUCUUAAAUACAUUUUUGUUUCCACUAUAACACAAAUAAUUGGAAUAUAUUUAAACUAUCUGAGAAUCCUUACCAAGUAAUCUUUUUGAGAACCUCUCGUUUUGUAUCAGAGUAUUGUUUUAGAUUUCCCUAAGCAAAUCUUGAAUAUUGCCAUUGAUAUAUAUGAGAUUAGGAUAUCAUUUUGGGAUCUUUACUCGCAGUACCUCUAGUUUUACUGGUUUUCUUUUACUGUUUCUUCUGAAAUUGUCUAAUGUUGUAUAGUAAUAAUAUUGCACAUGAUUUUAACGUACAUAACCCAAUAAAUAGUAAAUUUACAAGUU